GACGAACGCUGGCGGCGUGCCUAAUACAUGCAAGUCGAACGCUGAAGAGAGGAGCUUGCUCUUCUUGGCUGAGUUGCGAACGGGUGAGUAACGCGUAGGUAACCUGCCUUGUAGCGGGGGAUAACUAUUGGAAACGAUAGCUAAUACCGCAUAACAAUGGAUGACACAUGUCAUUUAUUUGAAAGGGGCAAUUGCUCCACUACAAGAUGGACCUGCGUUGUAUUAGCUAGUAGGUGAGGUAAUGGCUCACCUAGGCGACGAUACAUAGCCGACCUGAGAGGGUGAUCGGCCACACUGGGACUGAGACACGGCCCAGACUCCUACGGGAGGCAGCAGUAGGGAAUCUUCGGCAAUGGGGGCAAACCUGACCGAGCAACGCCGCGUGAGUGAAGAAGGUUUUCGGAUCGUAAAGCUCUGUUGUAAGUCAAGAGCGGGCGUGAGAGUGGAAAGUUCACACUGUGACGGUAGCUUACCAGAAAGGGACGGCUAACUACGUG
rnacentral:rRNA from 1 species